GUCCACGCCGUAAACGAUGCGUGUUGGACGUUGGGAGGCUUGCCUUCCGGUGUCGCAGCUAACGCGCUAAACACGCCGCCUGGGGAGUACGGCCGCAAGGUUAAAACUCAAAGGAAUUGACGGGGCCCGCACAAGCGGUGGAGCAUGUGGUUUAAUUCGAUGCAACGCGCAGAACCUUACCAGCCCUUGACAUGGGACGUGUGACCUUGGGAGACCGGGGUCUUCAGUUCGGCUGGCGUCCACACAGGUGCUGCAUGGCUGUCGU
rnacentral:rRNA from 1 species